rnacentral:pre_miRNA from 1 species
CCUACUUGAGGAGAAAUUACCCUUGGUGUGUUGGCUUUAUCACGACAAAUCAUCCAAGGACAAUUUCUUGUUGAGUAUC